rnacentral:misc_RNA from 1 species
GGGGCCAUCUUCCUUUGUAGACACACAUGGCAUGUCUUUCAUUAAAUUCCUCACUAUUUCCUUAGCUCGAUUCUCUACUGUAGGUUCACUACAUCUUCUAUUUUCCACUGCAACACCAUCAUGACUGCUUGAUUUUUUACUGAUCGUUGAUUUAGGGGUAGCCAUCAAUUUCUGCUCACACUCUGACAAAGACUGAACACUCACAAGGCUUCUUGCCUCGUUGCAUUUGUUUGUUCCUUUCAAGUCUGCCAUCUUGCCCCUGAUAAAGAGCAGAGCCUUGACAAGUUGGCCCAGUUUCAAAUUGAAAGCCUCGCCGACAUAAAGAGCUAUAAAAUUGCUACAAAG